rnacentral:rRNA from 1 species
UACAUAGGGGACUAGCGUUGUCCGGAAUUACUGGGCGUAAAGGGUGUGUAGGCGGUUUUUUAAGUUGGAAGUGUAAUACCCAGAGCUUAACUCGGGUGCUGCUUCCAAAACUGGAAGACUAGAGUAUGGGAGAGGAUAAUGGAAUUCCUAGUGUAGCGGUGGAAUGCAUAGAUAUUAGGAGGAACACCAGAGGCGAAAGCGAUUAUCUGGACCAUAACUGACGCUGAGGCACGAAAGCGUGGGGAGCGAACAGGAUUAGAUAC